rnacentral:rRNA from 1 species
GACGAACGCUGGCGGCGUGCUUAACACAUGCAAGUCGAACGGAAAGGCCCUGCUUGCCGGGUACUCGAGUGGCGAACGGGUGAGUAACACGUGGGUGAUCUGCCCUGCACUUCGGGAUAAGCCUGGGAAACUGGGUCUAAUACCGGAUAGGAGCCAUUUUUAGUGUGAUGGUUGGAAAGUUUUUUCGGUGUAGGAUGAGCUCGCGGCCUAUCAGCUUGUUGGUGGGGUAAUGGCCUACCAAGGCGGCGACGGGUAGCCGGCCUGAGAGGGUGGACGGCCACAGUGGGACUGAGAUACGGCCCAGACGCCUACGGGAGGCAGCAGUGGGGAAUAUUGCACAAGGGGCGCAAGCCUGAUGCAGCGACGCCGCGUGGGGGAUGACGGCCUUCGGGUUGUAAACGCCUUUCGCUAGGGACGAAGCUUUUUGUGACGGUACCUAGAGAAGAAGCACCGGCUAACUACGUG